CCUACGGGGGGCGGCAGUGGGGAAUAUUGCACAAUGGGCGAAAGCCUGAUGCAGCAACGCCGCGUGAGUGAUGAAGGUCUUCGGAUUGUAAAGCUCUGUCUUUUGGGACGAUAAUGACGGUACCAAAGGAGGAAGCCACGGCUAACUACGUGCCAGCAGCCCCGGUC
rnacentral:rRNA from 1 species